rnacentral:lncRNA from 1 species
GUGCUGGAGAUAAUUCAACAAGGAAGUCUACUGGAAACCCGGAUUCUUCAAAUAAUAGUCAACGUGCAGUUUCUCAUUAUCUGAGAGCUUCAACUGGUUCUUGCCAUGAUUUCUGCAAAUAUGGCAGAAAAACAUGCAUUUGAUCAUUUGGAGAGAAGUUAAGGUGCCCUCUUUUGAAGAGAAUGACAAAACUUGAGUCAAACAAGCAGAAUCCUAUGGACACACCAGUUCCAGC